rnacentral:rRNA from 1 species
AGUACACGCUGUGACUAGCAUAUCAAUAAGCGGAGGAAAAGAAACUAACAAGGAUUCCCUCAGUAACGGCGAGUGAAGCGGGAAGAGCUCAAAUUUGAAAUCUUGAAAGGUCACCUUUCACGAAUUGUAGUUUAAAGAAGUGUUUUCUGUUACGAUCGUAAUAUAAGUUCUUUGGAAUAGGACAUCACAGAGGGUGAGAAUCCCGUCUAUGAUUGCGAUUUGUAGCUUUGUGAUACACUUUCAAAGAGUCGGGUUGUUUGGGAAUGCAACCCAAAACGGGAGGUAAAUUUCUUCUAAGGCUAAAUAUUGGCGAGAGACCGAUAGCGAACAAGUACCGUGAGGGAAAGAUGAAAAGAACUUUGAAAAGAGAGUUAAAUAGUACGUGAAAUUGUCAAAAGGGAAGCGUUUAACACCAGUGUUGUUUUCUGAAAAUCAACCUCUGUUAGCUUUAUGCAUGUUUGUUUAGACCUAAUCAGCUAUCUUUCAUGUUCUAUUGUUUGCAGUGGUGCACUUUUCAGUUUACAGGUCAACAUCAGUUUUUUUUACCGUAAAAAAGUUAAAGAAAGGUAGCUCAUGGCUCCGGUCGUGAGUGUUAUAGUCUUUUUCCUAUGCGGUAGGAGAGACUGAGGUCUGCAGUGUAGGCUAUUUGGCUAGAUACUCAGGUGCUAUGUGAUACCAUUUCAUAAACAACUUGUUGAUUAUGUUUUGUCUAUUGCAUACUCGCUUGUACUAUCAUACCUACGCUUAGGAUGUUGAGUAGCGACAUACGCAC